rnacentral:rRNA from 1 species
UACGUAGGGUGCGAGCGUUGUCCGGAAUUACUGGGCGUAAAGAGCUCGUAGGCGGUUUGUUGCGUCGGCCGUGAAAACCUGCAGCUUAACUGUGGGCCUGCGGCCGAUACGGGCAGACUUGAGUUCGGUAGGGGAGACUGGAAUUCCUGGUGUAGCGGUGAAAUGCGCAGAUAUCAGGAGGAACACCAAUGGCGAAGGCAGCACUCUGGGACGUGACUGACGCUGAGACGCGAAAGCGUGGGGAGCAAACAGG